rnacentral:lncRNA from 1 species
AGAUUGUUGAGAUUCCUCGGUUCAGCUCGUUCUUGUUGUGGUGCUGCAGAGAAGGAGCCCUUGAUCUUGGACGUCACAGGGUCCUGUUUAGGAUAGCUGUCUCUCUCGUACGCAACUCAUCUUUCUUUAGAGUCUGCUAGUCUGUGAAGUUUAUCUUAUUUUAGUCUGUGUCUGCAUCUUCCCGUUCUGUUUUUGUGGUAUAACAUCCAUUAAGUGCUCAAAUAGGUAGUAAUAAAUGCAUCCCUUAUAUUUCUUCUAGUCAGUAUAAGGACUUAUCACGUAUAACCUUUCGUUGUGAUUUUGUUCAAACUCGGGGGUGGUUAUCGAACACACAGGCCUUGGAGUUAUAUUUUUUAGGAGACUAGAUUUUUUUUGAAAAUUCGGCAGCAACACGUUUGUGAUGCGACUUUUCUUCCGACAACCACGACUGGUUACAUAGUUUCUGCUUCUACGCAACCUUGUGGUUCGAUUUCUUUCCUGUGGCUUCGGUCAGUUAUCUAAUCUUUUCACGUUCUGAAAGUCGUGAGCAACGGCUUUGCUUCCAGAGGAGUGGUAGAAUAGUCACCCUUUCCCUCUGUUUUACAGCAAACCUACUGUGCUGAUGUUUUAUUUUUGGUGCAUCUUACCUGGACCUCAUCUCUUCUGUCGAACACUUCGAUGCAAUGUAUUGCUCUUUCAGAUACUCAGGGAGAGUCUUAAAUGAAAAGAGUGCCAAGAUACUUAUAACCGUUUGUAGUGACGUGAAUGUACAGACGUUGGUCGUGGCUUCCACGUAAGAUCCUGCACCACAAUCUGUUAAACACAAAUGAAAUCUGUACUGAGUGAUUACUGCAAGAAUUCUAAAUCCUACUGGAACAUACUAAUAGCAACAACUUAAGCUGAUAAAAAUGAAUGUAAAACAGUAACACAAUAUUCGUUUGAUAUAUGUACCUGUAAUACAUAAAACGAAUAAUAGUAAUCUUUAAAUUUUGAAAUAAGGAAUAAAUUUAAAUUGUUUAUUUAUUUUAUAUAUACAUGAUAGAUAAUAUUAGAAUUUAUAUCUAUGUAUGUAAGUAUGUGUAUAUAUCAACAUAGUUAAAUAAAACAUCAAAGUAUUUUUUUAAAAAAAGAACAUAGUAUGUUUCUAUUCAUCUAGUAAGAUUUUUACAACAAUGAAUAUAUCAAUUUAUCAACCUAUAAUAAUAUUUAGUCUUGAUAUUAAAUUAAACUGUAAUAAAAUUAAAUUAGAAGUUAAUAAUACUAUAUAUUUUUAAUGUAAUAUUCUACUU